GGUAAGGUAGCUGAGUGUUUAGCGUUAGGCUGUAGACCUAUUUUACAGAGGUUUAAUUCCUCUCCUUAUUA
rnacentral:tRNA from 1 species